rnacentral:piRNA from 1 species
UAACUGCUUUACUGCGGCUCAAGGUCUGA